rnacentral:rRNA from 1 species
UGCUUCAACAUGCAAGUCGUACGAAAGUGUUAAAACUUUAGUGGCGGACGGGUGAGUAAACGCGAGAAUUUACCUUUAGGAGGGGAAUAACAGUUGGAAACGACUGCUAAUGCCGCAUAUCAUAACUAUGAAAGAAGAAAUUCGCCUAAAGAAAAGCUUGCGUCUGAUUAGCUAGUUGGUAAGGGUAAAGGCCUACCAAGGCGACGAUCAGUAGCUGGUUUGAGAGGACGACCAGUCACACUGGAACUGAGACACGGUCCAGACUCCUACGGGAGGCAGCAGUGGGGAAUUUUCUGCAAUGGGCGAAAGCCUGACAGAGCAAUACCGCGUGAGGGAAGAAAGCCCACAGGGUUGUAAACCUCUUUUGUCAAGGAAGAAGUUCUGACGUUACUUGACGAAUAAGCAUCGGCUAACUCCGUGCCAGCAGCCGCGGUAAGACGGAGGAUGCAAGUGUUAUCCGGAAUCACUGGGCGUAAAGCGUCUGUAGGUGGUUAAAUAAGUCAACUGUUAAAUCUUGGAGCUCAACUUCAAAAUCGCAGUCGAAACUAUUAGACUAGAGUAUAGUAGAGGUAAAGGGAAUUUCCAGUGGAGCGGUGAAAUGCGUAGAGAUUGGAAAGAACACCGAUGGCUAAGGCACUUUACUGGGCUAUUACUGACACUCAGAGACGAAAGCUAGGGUAGCAAAUGGGAUUAGAUACCCCAGUAGUCCUAGC